rnacentral:rRNA from 1 species
AUACGGAGGUGGCGAGCGUUGUUCGGAUUUAUUGGGUGUAAAGGGUGUGUAGGCGGUUAGGUCAGUGAGAUGUGAAAGCCCGGAGCUCAACUCCGGAAUUGCAUUUCAUACUGCUUAACUAGAGUCUCUGAGAGGCAAGGGGAAUUCCCGGUGUAGGGGUGAAAUCCGUAGAUAUCGGGAGGAACACCAGUAGCGAAGGCGCCUUGCUGGCGGAAGACUGACGCUGAGGCGCGAGAGCGUGGGGAGCAAACAGGAUUAGAAACCCCGGUAGUCC